AAGCCCGCUUUGCGAAGUAGUACGAAAUUUGUCAAACUUCCAAAACCAAAAAAUUAGUGGUGACCCCGAGUCGUUACAACAUGACGGAAUCGACAAAAGGGCGAAUCGACGGAUGGGGAGAAUAUUUCAUCGAACAAAAUGCCAACUAAAGAUGUGGAGCUUGCAUCGCAAUGCAAGCUGCGACCGUUCUGAACUGAGAUGACAGACAAAUGGUUUCUACAAAUUGAGGCCACCUUUCAGUCGUACAAGACCACAUCUUAUGUCGGUAAAUACAAUCUGGUUUUCUCAGCAAUUAGCAGCGAUGCUUUAAAGGAAGCUGCGGAUUUUUUAAAAACCUUACCAACUCAAGACCGAUAUAUUAACCUCAAAAGUCAACUACUGUCACGUUUUACUGAUUCAGCCGACCCACAUAGGGUAUUUGGCUGAUUUAGGCAUAUUUUUAUCGCUACAAACAUCAAAUAUAGUUUUAGUUAUCGAAUAAAACAUUCACUAUAACUACCCUGUUACUAAUAGAAAAUUCAA